AGAAUAUUGACGACCUCAAAACUUUCUAACAACAUGCUAUUUAGUUUUGGACAAUUGUUGAUACUUUUAGCUGAUAUGCUUCUAGUAUCUACAGAACAAUGCACAUCUGGAAUUUUUCAUGUGAACCCAGACAAGAUUGACACAAAACUCGAUGGAUACAAGAUUCGUACGUUUGAGAACAUAUCCCCGCGGGGAUGUUUUGACAAAUGUAUCCGGAGACCAAGAUGCCAUUCUUACAAUUAUAAUAGACAUGUAUUACGUUGCGAACUGAACUAUCAACCAACAUCUGUUUCUCAUAAUGACUUCCCGAACGCCGUUGGAUUUAUUUUUGUAGAAGUUGAUCAUUACAGAGGGGAUCCUAAGUAUGACACAUGCCUUGAAAAUCCCUGUAAACCUGGAGAAAUAUGUGAAAGGAAAAAAGAUGGAGACGUGUUUUGCGUCAAAGAACAAGAAUCCACGAUUAUGUUAAGCAGAUUUAGCAUAAAGGCAACGAAAUUUGUGGAGACGAUUGUACCGAAUUGAAAAAAUUCUAUUCAACAUUCGAAAGUGACGUAUCUACUAUAUACCCAUCCACGACUGCAGAAGGGCUACUUGUGUUUUGCAACUUGACGUACGGCAACUGGACGGUUUUUCAAAGAAGAACAGACGGAAGUGAAAAUUUUAGAAGGACCUGGGUAGAGUAUGAGAAUGGGUUUGGUGAUCUUCAGAAUGAAUUUUGGCUUGGUAACAAAUGCCUAAAUCUUCUAACCAGAAGUGGAUCAUAUAAACUACGAGUGGAACUUGUUAACAUCAACGGCCACAUGUAUUAUGCUGAGUAUAGUACAUUUGCAGUGGGUGAUGCAGCAUCAAGAUAUACAUUAACUAUUAAUGGAUACAAUGGAACUGCAGGAAACUGGAUGCAGGGCAACAAUGGAAACCCUUUUACGACCUAUGAUCGUGAUUAUGAUUCUAGUUCUAGUAAUUGCGCUGAUCCUGGGGGAGCCUGGUGGCACCGGUCCUGCUCGAGUUCAUAUUUGAACAACGACGAUAGCAACCAUCUGUAUUGGCACCCAACAGCUUAUAUCAAUUCUUACAUGAUGAUACAAAGAACCACAUAAAAUAUUUGAAUAACCAUGAUUCAAAACAAACCCAUGACUAGAUUCUUCCUUGUGGAUGGUACCGGUAUUAGUUAUGUAUAUGCCUUUUUUAUUCAAGACUCUUUUUUAACAAUUAUCUUUGCAAAACUCUCUGCGGAGAUUCUACAAUCUCGGUAUAUGAAAGUAUUAUUCUCUUCGAGAGAUGUUAUCAGUUUGUCAUAUGAAAAGUUGGGAUUUUCUUCCAUAUUUACAUGUAACAUUAUUAGUUACGUAAAUAAAACGUUCAAGAAAGAACCAAAGAUUAAACAUUUUGUGUUGAAUCAUGAAGUCGUUUCGUUUGAGACAUUUAUAUUACUUUUAAAGCUAACAAUGUAUAGUGCAAUUACACGAAUAUAGUGUGAAUAUUAUCCUCAGAAGAUAUUAUAUUGCAAGAACUAUUCAAGUGUUAUCAAUAUUCCACAAAUGAAACCUUUAUAAAUCUUUAUGCACAAACCCUUUAAUCAUGAAUAAAUGAAAUGUUGGGUAUUCCUUAAUGUAAUAGCUACCCAAAACAUGAACCCGCUAUGACAAAACUUUUUAUAUGACAUGAGCACCCUUUGUCAGUAAUAAUAACUUCACAUUUUGAUUGAUAUUGUUCAAUGUGUGCUUUACCGGCGAAUUCACGCGGAUUGUUGAAAUGAUUAUUGGAUAAACUGUGUUUGUCGCUUAUACACUUAUGUAGGUUGUGCGUCAAUGUUUGACUUUUUCAGUAUAUUUUAAAUUGUAAGUGUAUUUUUGUCAUUGAAACAUGUGUUAUGUGUAACAAAAUUGAGACUCAAUUGUUUAGAUUCAUUUUGGCAACAAAAGAAAGAAGCAUGUAUAACAAUAACAAUUAUUUCCCCAUGCAUCUUCGGUAGUAUUAAAUUCUUCAAUUGUUUCAAAAUGAGGUUUAAUUUUAUUGAUAAUUGUCAAGAUAUUAUUCUUAUUGUACAAAGUUAGGAAUAAGACAGUUGUUUUCCAUUCGUUUGAUGCGUUUGAGCUUUUGAUUUUGCCCUCUGAUAAGGGACUUUCCGUUUUGAAUUUUAUUGGAUUUCGAUAUUUUUGAUAUUUUACUUUUGAACAACGCUGCGCUCACACCGAGACUUAAACAAGUUUAAAACAAUUUUAAUCAAAUUUUAGAAAAUAUGCAUAAGGUAUCAAUCCGUUUAUUUUGAAAAAGCUAAAAGUUAUCAAAUUCCUUUUAAUACAGAAUUGAUUGAUUGGUUGGUUUAUAUCACGAAUAUGUACAAAAAUUAGAAGAUUUCUGAAUUAAGCAAUGUUGGGAGUUUUGACUAGUCAUAUUCUUUCCUGUCACUAUGCAUAUUAAGAUUAUUUUGAGCAUGAAAAUUAUGACGUGUUGUUUUCACUUUUUACGUAUUUAUUGUUGUGCAUGUAGUUAACGUCGAUGACGGUCGUCUGUGUAGUUUUUUCAAUUAAUCAACGUCAUUAACAUGUAUAUUUGCUGAUUAUUUCUUUAUGUUCAUUAACAUUAUAUAAAUAAAUGUAAUUAUAAAAAAACAGCCGACAAUGCAAACAAAAAUCAAAAGGCACACGGAGGUCAACAUACAUGUACAGUUUUCAACAAAAGAUAAGUGUCUAUUGUUUAAUAAAAAUGGCAUUCGAAAAUCUUUACAUUCGAUACUUAAAUUUCACACAUUUCAUCAUUACCCUUGUGAAGAAUGAUAUAAAUAAGACUUACUUUAAUGUUGCACUAAACGUCUUCUUCUGAAUCUUAUUACAAUUCUUUCUACAGUAACAGAUAGCCUGCAGACAUAUUAUUGUGAUGUAUACUCAACACACGUGUUAAUCAGAGUACUUAAAAUGUUCUAAAUAUCUGCUCCCGAAUCUUCAUUCACAAUCAUUACAAAUUUGCAGCAAUGUCAAUACUUUUGAUUUUUCCACACUCUACAUUACUUCUAAAGCUCAAUUGAAAGACCGUCUAUAUCUUGUAAUGAUUUGUUUUCUUUGCAACAAUUGGAAUAGUAGCCUCAAAUAUCAAAUUUAAGGCCACCAAAAAUCUUAUUUGUGACAACAACACAUACACCGAAAAAUCUAGCGUAGAAUAUCAUAUUGACUGUAAAUAAUAUUCCACACAGGCAUAAAGUAACAAAGCUUUGUGCAAGAACCUUUUUGAUAUGAAUUUGAAGAGAUGUAGAGCAUUCGUCAAUAAGACAAUGCGACACAAACCAAAACAACACAAAAACAAACACAUGUAUGAGAGUGUUCAAAAUGACAAGAACAUCAUAUUUUGUGAAGAUAAUUUAAUUAUUUGAUGUGAUUUUGUUUACUGUACUUUAGCUGCGAAUAUUGAACGCUAAGUUUUGGUUACCUUUUAUGUUGAAUAUGUAGUUGCUAUUGAAUAAAACUGAAUAUUGCAUCUUUUAAAAUAGUUUUUUCAAUGUAUAAUUUGUCGAUUUUAAGAUAAUUAUAUCAGUAAUUUGUGCAAAUAUAGAAGAAACUUUCAAAAUAUAUCUUGACAGUUUAUUAAUUGUGAUUCAAACUUUUCAACUGAUUUUUAUAAAAUUGAGAAUGGAAAUGGGGAAUGUGUCAAAGAGACCACAACCCUACCAUAGAGCAGACAACUGCCGAAGGCCACCAAAGGGUCUUCAAUGCAGCGAGAAACAUCCGCACCCGGAGGCGUCCUUCAGCUGGCCCCUAAACAAAUAUACUAGUUCAGUGAUAAUGGACGUUAUAGUUUGUUCUUAUGUUGUACUGUAACACCACUGUCCCAGGUUAGGGGGAGGGUUGGCGCGCCUUCAGACUAGUUUAACCCCGCCACAUUCUGUAUGUGCCUGUCCCAAGUCAGGAGCCUGUAAUUCAGUGGUUGUCGUUUGUUGCUGUAUAUCAUAUUUGUUUUUCGUUCAUUAUUUUGUACACAAAUUAGGCCGUUAGUUUUCUCGUUUGAAUUAUUUUACAUUUGUCAUUUCGGGGCCUUUUAUAGCUGACUAUGCGGUAUGGGUUUUACUCAUUGUUGAAAGCCGUACGGUGACCUAUAGUUGUUAAUUUCUGUGUCUUUUGGUCUCUUGUGGAGAGUUGUCUCAUUGGCAAUCAUACCACAUCUUCUUAUUUUUAUAUUUUAAAAAUGUUUAAUGUUGAUAACAAUUUUACAAUUUUACAAUAUUUGUGACAAUUAACUUACUUUAGGGCCUUUCAAUACAAAGCACAAAGAUAUGAUAAGAGCUAUUAUUUGGUCCUUGUAGCCAAUUUCCUCAAACUUUUCAAACUAGUGUUAGUUUAACGGAUAAUCAAAUAAGGCUGUGUUCAAACUGAGGCUUCAACAAGAUUGAAUCAAUUGUAAUUGAAUUGUCGUAUAAUUAUUACAAAUUAUGAAAUUGAAUGCAUGCCAAACAAUUGUCAAUAUUAUAACAAAACUCUAACUUGCGUAUGCCACAAUGUUUCACAAGGGCAUUGUGAACGCAGUCGUACAUCAUAUACAACCAUGUCAUGAUUAUCCAUUUCAGAAUUUAACGAAUUAUGGAAAAUAUUUUCAAAAUUGUACACCUUUACUUGGUUCACGUGGUUCAUUUGUAAGUUUCGGAGUUUAGUGUUGCGUCCAUUUCGCGGAACUAGUAUACAUUAUUGUUUCGAGGUCAGUUGAAGCCCGCCUCUGGGGGCCUGAUUUCUCGAUGCGUUGAAGACCAAUUGGUGGCCUUGGGCUGUUUUCUGCUCUUUUGUCGGAUUGUUGUCUCUUUGACACAUUUUUUUCCGUUUCCAUUUUUCGUUCUACCUUAACGUUGUGAUUUUUAAAUAACAACGUCCUAAACAAUGAAAAUUCAGCCAAUGACGUUACGUAAUUUUCAUUUUAUGGGUACGACUAACGAAGUUACCCAAUAUUCUUCACUUUCUGAAGCAACGAAUUGAAUUAUUUGACAAAAACAAGCCAUUUCACAUAAUGAUUUCGUUGAAUUAAAUACGAACAACAACCUUCCCCAGAAUUAUUGACUCAAAUCACCAUCCUUGAAUAAGACAUCUAGGUUGUGACAAAAUAAUUUAUUGGUUAUGGCUGUUGCUCAUUUUGAAUUUUGACAUCAAUAUUUUGGAGGUCUCUAAAUGAGGCAAUGGUGGUAGAUUGGCCUAAUCAUACUUUUUCCGUUUAAUAUUUACAAUAAAGUUAUUUGAUAAGUUAGUUAAUGUAUUUUAUGUGUAUCAUGGUUUCAAUGUUUUGCUAAAAUAAAGAAUUUAAAUUAUGCGAAGAUAUA